rnacentral:rRNA from 1 species
UACGUAGGGCGCAAGCGUUAUCCGGAAUUAUUGGGCGUAAAGAGCUCGUAGGCGGUUUGUCGCGUCUGCCGUGAAAGUCCGGGGCUCAACUCCGGAUCUGCGGUGGGUACGGGCAGACUAGAGUGAUGUAGGGGAGACUGGAAGUUCCUGGUGUAGCGGUGAAAUGCGCAGAUAUCAGGAGGAACACCGAUGGCGAAGGCAGGUCUCUGGGCAUUAACUGACGCUGAGGAGCGAAAGCAUGGGGAGCGAACAGG